rnacentral:rRNA from 1 species
UACGUAGGGGGCUAGCGUUGUCCGGAAUCAUUGGGCGUAAAGCGCGUGUAGGCGGCUGGCCAAGCGUGGUGUGAAAUCUCCGGGCUCAACCCGGAAACUGCACUGCGAACUGGCCUGGCUGGAGUGCAGGAGAGGGAUGCGGAAUUCACGGUGUAGCGGUGAAAUGCGUAGAUAUCGUGAGGAACACCAGUGGCGAAGGCGGCAUCCUGGCCUGUAACUGACGCUGAGACGCGAAAGCGUGGGGAGCGAACCGG